UCGUCCUACGGGACGCAGCAGUGGGGAAUAUUGCACAAUGGGGGAAACCCUGAUGCAGCGACGCCGCGUGAGUGUGGAAGUAUUUCGGUAUGUAAAGCUCUAUCAGCAGGGAAGAAAAUGACGGUACCUGACUAAGAAGCCCCGGCUAACUACGUGCCAGCAGCCGCGGUAAUACGUAGGGGGCAAGCGUUAUCCGGAUUUACUGGGUGUAAAGGGAGCGUAGACGGCAGGGCAAGUCUGGAGUGAAAGCCCGGGGCCCAACCCCGGGACUGCUUUGGAAACUGCCAUGCUGGAGUGCUGGAGAG
rnacentral:rRNA from 1 species